rnacentral:rRNA from 1 species
UACGUAGGCAGCAAGCGUUGUUCGGAGUUACUGGGCGUAAAGGGUGUGUAGGCGGUUGGUUAAGUUUGGUGUGAAAUCUCCCGGCUUAACUGGGAGGGUGCGCCGAAUACUGAGUGACUAGAGUGCGGGAGAGGAAAGUGGAAUUCCUGGUGUAGCGGUGAAAUGCGUAGAUAUCAGGAGGAACACCGGUGGUGUAGACGGCUUUCUGGACCGUAACUGACGCUGAGACACGAAAGCGUGGGUAGCAAACAGG